rnacentral:rRNA from 1 species
UACCUAUAACUGUUGCUUCGGCGGGUAGGGUCUCCGUGACCCUCCCGGCCUCCCGCCCCCCCGGGCGGGCCGGCGCCCGCCGGAGGAUAACCAAACUCUGAUUUAACGACGUUUCUUCUGAGUGGUACAAGCAAAUAAUCAAAACUUUUAACAACGGAUCUCUUGGUUCUGGCAUCGAUGAAGAACGCAGCGAAAUGCGAUAAGUAAUGUGAAUUGCAGAAUUCAGUGAAUCAUCGAAUCUUUGAACGCACAUUGCGCCCGCCAGCAUUCUGGCGGGCAUGCCUGUUCGAGCGUCAUUUCAACCCUCAAGCUCUGCUUGGUGUUGGGGCCCUACAGCCGAUGUAGGCCCUCAAAGGUAGUGGCGGACCCUCCCGGAGCCUCCUUUGCGUAGUAACUUUACGUCUCGCACUGGGAUCCGGAGGGACUCUUGCCGUAAAACCCCCCAAUUUUCCAAAGGUUGACCUCGGAUCAGGUAGGAAUACCCGCUGAACUUA